GUCGAGGGGUAACAGAGAAAAGCUUGCUUUUCUGCUGACGACCGGCGCACGGGUGCGUAACGCGUAUACAAUCUGCCUUAUACAGAGGGAUAGCCUUUAGAAAUGAAGAUUAAUACCUUAUAGUCUAUAUAUAUAGCAUUAUAUAAAUAGUAAAGCUUCGGUGGUAUAAGAUGAGUAUGCGUCCUAUUAGUUAGUUGGUGAGGUAACGGCUUACCAAGACAACGAUAGGUAGGGGCCCUGAGAGGGGGAUCCCCCACACUGGUACUGAGACACGGACCAGACUCCUACGGGAGGCAGCAGUGAGGAAUAUUGGACAAUGGAGGCAACUCUGAUCCAGCCAUGCCGCGUGCAGGAAGACGGCCCUAUGGGUUGUAAACUGCUUUUAUAUAGGAAGAAACCUUUUCACGUGUGAGAAGCUGACGGUACUAUAAGAAUAAGGACCGGCUAACUCCGUGCCAGCAGCCGCGGUAAUACGGAGGGUCCGAGCGUUAUCCGGAAUCAUUGGGUUUAAAGGGUCCGUAGGCGGGAAUCUAAGUCAGUGGUGAAAUCUUGCAGCUCAACUGUAAAAUUGCCAUUGAUACUGGAUUUCUUGAAUUAGUGUGAAGUGGUUAGAAUGUGUAGUGUAGCGGUGAAAUGCAUAGAUAUUACACAGAAUACCAAUUGCGAAGGCAGAUCACUAACACUAUAUUGACGCUGAGGGACGAAAGCGUGGGGAGCGAACAGGAUUAGAUACCCUGGUAGUCCACGCCGUAAACGAUGGAUACUAGCUGUUCGGUCUUCGGACUGAGUGGCUAAGCGAAAGUGAUAAGUAUCCCACCUGGGGAGUACGUUCGCAAGAAUGAAACUCAA
rnacentral:rRNA from 1 species